GACACAGAGAUUGGUUUCUAGUCCACAUCACUCUGAACAAUGCUACCAUGUAUAUCCUCACACCUGUCCCCUUAUGAGUCAAUAUGUAUUGGGAGCCGUUUCUGAGCUCAUGGGUUGAAAAAGAACUUCCUAUGAGGUUAAGCUUCAACAUGAACAACCUGGGCUUGUCUGCUGGAUGAGAGACACGUGGAAUAGAAAUGAAUCUUCGCAGCUGGGACCAUUCUGGACCAGUCACUGAUUCCCAGCAACGAGGCAGUUCACAAACAUGUAAUUGAACCCAGCUGAGCCAGAAGAAUCACCAGCUAUGAACAGCCCAAAUCACCACUUCACUGAUGUAUGAAAAGAUGUGAUUAUGAUGGAUUGUGUUUCAAAGCAAUUAGAAUGCUUCCAUCAGCUGCAUUUGUAUGGCUGAUUAUAUGAAUCUUGUCAACCUUCUGGCCUGCUACAUUGUCACUGAAAAAACCUGACACCAGGUCUUACUGUGUGGAUCAGGUGAUACUGGCAGCCUGGAAAGGGAAUAAAGAAACAAUCUCUGCAGAAAUCAGUUCUGGUUCUCUGCUGAACUCCCCAUCUGGAUUUCUCUGGGACUUUGAGCAUCUUUUCUAAAUGUGAGACAGAAAACCAU